CCUACGGGAGGCAGCAGUAAGGAAUAUUGGACAAUGGUCGCAAGACUGAUCCAGCCAUGCCGCGUGCAGGAUGAACGAUCUAUGAUCUGUAAACUGCUUUUGUUCGGGAAUAAACCCCUUCACGUGUGGAGGGCUGAAUGUACCGAAAGAAUAAGGGUCGGCUAACUUCGUGCCAGCAGCCGCGGUAAGACGAAGGACCCAAGCGUUAUCCGGAUUUAUUGGGUUUAAAGGGUGCGUAGGCGGGUUGUUAAGUCAGUGGUGAAAGCCUAGAGCUUAACUCUAGAAUUGCCAUUGAUACUGACGAUCUUGAGGAUAGUUGAGGUGGGCGGAAUGUAUCAUGUAGCGGUGAAAUGCUUAGAGAUGAUACAGAACACCGAUUGCGAAGGCAGCUCACUAAGCUAUUUCUGACGCUGAGGCACGAAAGCGUGGGGAUCAAACAGGAUUAGAUACCCUGGUAGUCCACGCCCUAAACGAUGAUUACUCGAUGUGUGCGAUAUACUGUACGCGUCUAAGCGAAAGCAUUAAGUAAUCCACCUGGGGAGUACGACCGCAAGGUUGAAACUCAAAGGAAUUGACGG
rnacentral:rRNA from 1 species